UACGAAGGGGGCUAGCGUUGCUCGGAAUCACUGGGCGUAAAGGGCGCGUAGGCGGCCGAUCAAGUCAGGCGUGAAAUUCCCGGGCUCAACCUGGGGGCUGCGCUUGAUACUGAUUGGCUUGAAUGCGGGAGAGGAUAGUGGAAUUCCCAGUGUAGAGGUGAAAUUCGUAGAUAUUGGGAAGAACACCGGUGGCGAAGGCGGCUAUCUGGCCCGUAAUUGACGCUGAGGCGCGAAAGCGUGGGGAGCAAACAGG
rnacentral:rRNA from 1 species